rnacentral:tRNA from 1 species
GCCCUGAUGGCGGAAUUGGUAGACGCGUCGGUCUCAAAAACCGAUGAACGUGAGUUCGUGCCGGUUCGAUCCCGGCUCGGGGUA